AUUAAGGUGUUGUCGCGAACACAAAAUACAGUUGACGCAGUCUACAUCAAUUUGUUACAGAUCAAUUUGUUACAGAAUCUUCAAAAUGUAAUAAUCUGUCACCAUCCCCCGACAUUGUAUUGGUAAGUCUAAUUUUGCAUUUAACUCGCUCACAAAUCAGCUCAACAGGUAGAGCAGGUGGACGUCUUGAUAGCUCAAGUCUUGUCUUGACCACAACCAUAGACUAUUUAUGUUGCGUGCUAGUGAGGACAGUGCAUCUGUUAUGUUUGUGCUUGCGUGGUAGUGAGGACCAGGCUUCAUAGGUAGAGCAGUCGACUACAUUCUCAAUGUUUGAGAAUUCCAAUCUUGCGUAUUUAUACCGCGGACACGAUAGUGAGACAGAUAGAACACAAGAAUUCACCAGCAAUCUCUGUAGUGUAGACUUGAGGGGAGACUGUAUGGUUGAAGGUUGAAAGCUCAAACCACAUUUUGGGCGAUGAAUCUAGACUACUAGAGGAUAUUUUCAACUUUUGUGUGUUUAUAAUGAGCACGAUCUCAGCUGUUAAUUGCUCAGCAUACUUGACGCGCCUCAGUAGGCAGAACAGCGAGAUUAUUUCAACAGAAGGCAGCUUUUCAUCUGUACUCGAAUUUUCAUCUACGUAAAUAGUAAAAUUACCUUGAGAUGAAUUUGAAAAAUCAAAAGAACCGUAUAACCGUACGAGUAUGUACUGUGUUCGCAAAAACACAUAAAUUAUUAUCAUAUUUAUUGCUAUUGUAAAUCUACACGCUAUGCGAGCUCUAUUGCUUAAUAAAUCAUUUUGCGCAAUUAUUGCAUUAAAGCAGUACAAUAAGUAGUUUGAAAGAUCUAUUUGAAAGAUCUCUGCCAGGGUAGGCUGGAAAAUACAAGGAAAACUUCAACGUUUCGACUGGAAGUUAGUGGCCACUCGACUACUAACUUCGCGACGGAAGGGGCGUAGAUAAAAGGCGGGCACGGAAUGGCGGACCCGGACCGGCGGACGCGGACAAGAAAAUUUAUUUUUUUUAAUUAUUGAAAAUAAUUUUAAAAAAUAAAUAAAUAUAAUAUUAUUAAACGUUCGAAACGUAUCCCUAUCAAUCCGAAGCUUUCUUCUAUUUUGAAAACUGUCACUGGUCUAGUUUAAAUAAAAAAACAAAAACAAAUAAAGUUACAAAAUGUGAAUGCACAUGAUGAAGUCUGUUUAGUGAAACGAAUAAUUCAAAAAAUUUCUUAAAUUACUGGAAAUUAAUGAUGUAUAUUUCCGGAAAAAAGGUUUCAAGUACUUUAGCCAUAUUGCACAUAGAGUUCUAGUCCAGUGUAGGUAGCAAUCAACACUAUGUGAUUGGCUUAUCUGGAUUUAACUUUCAGCUUUACUGUUGUAUAAAACAAUCAGAAAUGUGUCUAGUGCAGGAAUCAUAGCUGGCCACAUCCAUAAUUUAACAACAGUUGUUUCGUAUUCCCAGGCGUUCAAUAAUGGCACACAGCUACCAGCAAGGUUAUGAUGAAAGACGUUUUGAAGGUCAAGUAAGAGAAGAUCUGUUCUGCUCUAUUUGUCACGAGGUGCUCAGAGACCCACGAACUUGCCAGAACAGAGAACAUCCAUUUUGUCUUUCUUGCAUAACUCAACAUCUUCGUAAUUCCCACACAUGUCCUGAAUGCAGAGAGGAUCUGGCCCCAGAAACCUUAAAAAAUCCGAGAUUCUUGAAGAAUAUUCUAUCAGAGCUGAAAAUCAAGUGUGAGUACACUGAGCGAGGCUGCCCAGGCUACGUCCAGCUUGGAAAUUUACAGAAUCAUGUUGAGCGAUGUGGCUUUGCGCCUGUUAUGUGUGGAAAUGAAGAAUGUGGGACGGUGGUCAAUAAAAAAGAUAAAGAAAUGCAUGAGAGAGAACUCUGCCAGUUUAGAAUCCCCAAGUGCCACGACUGCAGAGAUAUUAAAGUAAGUAAAAAAAAUUUCGAGCUCUGAAAAAUAUGGCAGCUCCAGAAAUAUGUGAUAUCUAGAGUAUGCCUGCCCCGUGUGGCAUUUUUCAUUGCCUGUAUUUUUGUGCGACCAAAUUGAACAAAUUCAACGCCGGGCUCUGAAAAUUAUCUAUCCUGAUUUAUCGUAUAAAGACGGUUUGAACGAACUCAAUCUGCCCACUCUUGUUGAUCGGAGGGUUUCCUUGUGUGAACGGUUUUACGAGAACAGUUUUGGCACUACAAGUAAAACUUCUGACCUUUUACCUAGAAAGAAAUCUUAUUCAUAUAACCUUAGAAAUGCUAGAAACAUUCCACUUUUUAAAACACGUACAAGUAGAUUUUAUGACAGUUUUUUACCAACCUGCGUACGGAAAUGGGACUUGCCUUGAACUAUUCCAAUUUAAUAACUUAACACAAUAAUGCAUAAAUUUGUAUUGUACAUAUAUUUUUAUAUAUUCUAAUCUAACUAUUUUAUUUUAAUAUUUGUUACUUGAGUUUUUCAGUUUCUUUGUAAACUGCCAUUCAAGUUUUUAAUAAAUUCAAUUCAAUUCAAAAAAUAUGUUUGCUAAGAGAAAUGAAGUGAGAACUAUUUAGAGAAUAGACCCAUUGCACUGACGUCACAAAUCCUUAGAGUGUCCUCCAGAUGCUGCCUAACAAUAUCUGCUCGGGUACAAAAUUUUCUUUGUUUACAAAAGUUAUACCAUCCGUAGAUUGCUAAUUUAUCCUUUAGAUGCAUCGUCACCGGUGCUGUGACGUCAUGUGCAAUGGGUCUAUUGCAACUACAACUGACACACAUCUUCCAAGAAUUAGAACUGAGAAGACUAAAUGAGAAACAACGUAUAGUGGACCGUACGUUUUAACUCGCUACCAAAUCACACUAUACAUCGGUUUCGGUAAUUUUUGCGAAGGAAAAACAUUUUCUUAGAGAUGAAUGAUCAGAGGUUGACCACCUUACAAAAUAUAUCACUCGGUGUAAUUAUGUGAUACCGUAUAAUCAAUAGUUUUGAUUAUAAUAAUUAUUAAUAAUAACAAGUAUAAUUCAGGAAAAUGUUGACGAGAUGAAAGUAAGACAAAAUGAAAUGAUAGCUAGUCAAGUUGGAAUGGAAAGAAAACAAGAUGAAAUUAAGGUUAGACAAGUUUUUGUUCUUUGUAUGUUUGCAAUUUUGAAAAGUUUGUGAAAAUCUGCAGUUUGUGAAUAGUGGCAUCUCCAAGACUACCCGCAGCCUAGUCAGUGACGUUUAUAUUUUACAAUUCAGGAACAUGUCGACGAGAUAAAGGUAGAAUUGAGCAAAACAAAAGUGGAAAUGGAAAGAAAGCAGGAUGAAAUCAAUGACAAAGUAAAUCAAAUGAAGGUAAGGCAAGAUUGUGUUUAAUUUUCUGUAAGUUCCUUUGCAAUAAAAAUGCCACUUUUUAAUUUGCAAAUUAAAAUCUUUUCCGGAUGUUUAUUGAUAUAAAUAUUGUUUAAUAUAAACUUUUAAUCCAGGCCAACAUAUUGAACACUUCGCCAAUUAAAUAAACUAAUUAUGGUGAAUAGCUUCUCAAAAUGUACACUAUGUCGUCGCUGAUAUAUUUUAAUAUAACAACAGAGUCACAGAAAUUUUUAAUUUUAUAAUCCAGGAGAAUGUUGACGAGAUAAAGCAAACUCAAGCAGAAAUGAAAGCAGAUCAAGUGAUGUUUAAAGCUGAGGUAAGCCAGCAGUUUCAAAGGAUGACAGAGAUGUUAAAUCAGUUGUUGCAAGGAAAAAAUGUAAACAACAAUGGUUCUCAAGCUAUAGAUCCAGCAGCUCCUGCCAACAACCAAGAUAUUAUUAUUCUUGGCGGUCGGUGUGGCGAAGGAAAUGACAACAUAUUAAAUACAGUUGAAAAAUACAACAUAGCAGAAGGAAGGUCGACUGAGCUGCCACCGAUAAAUCUCGCUCGAAUAGAUUCAGCAUCAUGUGUUCACAACGGUGACGUCAUCGUGACUGGAGGAUACGAUGGUCAAGCUGGUACUGACUUGAUCGAGAUUUUAAAGAUGAACCAGCAUCCUUUGCGAUGGACGAUGUUUAAUGGUAAACUGCCCGCCAAGUUAGCUGCUCAUGACGUCACAGUUUACCAAGAUAAAUUAUAUAUCAUAGGAGGAUAUAGCUGGAAUGAAAUGAAAACAUCCGAUGCAAUUUAUGAACUAUCCCUUGCACCGCCUUAUACUGUCAAGCUUCUCGCACGAAUGCCUCAGCCAAGGGCAAACCACAGAGCGGAGAUUGUUAACGAGAAGCUAUUUAUCUUGGGAGGAUCGACAACAGUAACGAGUAAAGAUACCACAUAUAGUGUUGUUGUGUAUGAUUUCAUCAAGAACGAGAUUAAGCCAUGUGCAUCGUUACUCGAGCCUGUCUCAGCAAUGUCCACAGUUACUUGGGGCAAUAUAAUCAUUGUUGUCGGCGGGCUGGAUAAGAAUGAUCAGGUUUUAAAUGACGUCAUCAUGUAUCACAUUGAAACUGGGCGAAGUGAAAGAUUACCUUCACUGAAACACAAGAGGCGUGCUCCCUCUGCUGUAAUCAUGCAUGACAUCAUUGUUGUAUUGGGAGGAUGGAAUAAGGAAGAGGGAUUUCUCAACUCAGUAGAAAGUUUCACAAUGGGAGAUGAUCAGUGGAAAGAACUGCCAGGAAUGAGAGAAAAAAAGGUUUGGGCAAAUGCUGUAGUGACACCUGGCAACUGAAAGGUUUUCUAUAAACUAUUUAUUCGCCUCUUGCAUAAAUAACACUUUGCCCCGUGCGGAUAAACAUGAAGGAAGUCUGAUAGUCAAAAGGAACAGUAAAAGUAAAAUAACAUUAACUGAAAAGUGAACGUAACUACAAAACACCCUGAUAACAUUAAUUUAAACGAUCUGUUUACAUGACCCCACAAGACGUCUCGCGCCUGCUAUCAUCUCCCCUCCGAGUAAUUUUAUUAUAAAAAUUUACAUGGCGGCAUAGGAGAAGCCGAGACCAUAGGUAGGCGGGAUGAAAAAAUGUUCCAUAUGACACGCCAGCCCGCUUACCGGGAUGAGGUCAAGAAACCGAAUAAUUUUUACUGAGCGUCAUAUUUGUUUCGUAUGAAAGUGUUAAAUCUGUUGCUGAAGCAAUGCUUUUCCUUGCAAAAAAAAACCCCGAUGAAAAACACCAAAAUCGUUACAACGUUUGUGUUGUAUGACUAAAAUGUACGAGUUUUGCAGGCGCUAAUUGAUAUAGAGCUACAUUGUAAUUUCAUCUUGAAAACACGAAAAUGUUCGUCCUACGACGUCAGUUAUGGUUAUUUUAUGGUCAAGUCUCCGUCAAUGUUAUUUAUUCCCUUUCAUUUGCAUAUUUAGUAUCUAGACGACAUGAUAUUAUAACCAAUGACCUGUACUUUGGUUAACAUCAUUGGUGAUAUAUCCUCAUGCUUAUGCUCGCGACGCCAAUCAAAACACUAUCCCUAUUGUGCGCAAACCACGAGGAUGUUAACACUAAAUAAAACAAACAUACCACACCGUGCAAAGGAUUAUGGUAUGUUUAAGAUGUUUGAAGCCAAAGCAGGAUUAUUCAUAUCGAGUUUAAAUAUUUGUCCAAUCUACGAGCUUUUGAGUGCCAGUCUGUAGCGAAACCUGCCCAUUGAAGACUGCAGACUAGCAGUCGAAUGCUCGUAGAUUUAGUAUUUUAAACCAGAGUUUACCUAUGCUACAUUGCUGCGAAAAAUCUUUGUUCAAAUAUAUGUAUGAUAUGGCAAGUUCAUAUCCAUAAUUAACGGAUUAUUCGUUGAUAACUUGAGGAAGAUAGCAAAAUUGUCUUGCAUGCCAUAUGACAGUUUAAUGUCUGUUUAAAAUAUCAUACUUAUGUUUAAAUGAAUAUUAAUAAUUUUAUUUUAGAUAUAAUCCUGUAUAAUGAUUAAUGAAUAAUUGUGUAAAUAUUCUACAUUUAACAUAUCUUGUGUUGAAAGAAACAUUUGAUCUGGACAGAAACAUUAGUAAUUAGUGAAACAUUGAAUUAAUUUGAAUUACUAUGACAUGUAAACUAUAUUGUAAAUAAAG